rnacentral:rRNA from 1 species
UACAGAGGCCCCAAGCGUUACUGAGAAUCACUGGGUUUAAAGGGUGCGUAGGUGGCGCGUUAAGUCCGUUGUGAAAUCCCUGGGCUCAACCCAGGAAAUGCUUCGGAUACUGGCGUGCUUGAGGCUAGUAGGGGUCACUGGAACUGACGGUGGAGCGGUGAAAUGCGUAGAUAUCGUCAGGAACGCCAAUGGUGAAGACAGGUGACUGGGCUAGAUCUGACACUGAGGCACGAAAGCGUGGGGAGCGAACGGG